CAGCAGCCGCGGGAAUACGAAGGGUGCAAGCGUUACUCGGAAUUACUGGGCGUAAAGCGUGCGUAGGUGGUGGUUUAAGUCCGUUGUGAAAGCCCUGGGCUCAACCUGGGAAUUGCAGUGGAUACUGGGUCACUAGAGUGUGGUAGAGGAUAGUGGAAUUUCCGGUGUAGCAGUGAAAUGCGUAGAGAUCGGAAGGAACAUCUGUGGCGAAGGCGACUAUCUGGGCCAACACUGACACUGAGGCACGAAAGCGUGGGGAGCAAACAGGAUUAGAGACCCCGGUAGUCCCUGUCUCUUAUAC
rnacentral:rRNA from 1 species